AGAGUUUGAUCCUGGCUCAGAAUGAACGUUGGCGGCGUGGAUUAGGCAUGCAAGUCGAACGAGCCUCUGGGGGGUAACUCCUAGAGGAAAGUGGCGAAAGGGGCAGUAAUGUAUGGGUAACCUACCUUGAGGUCUGGGAUAGCUAUUCUAACGGAUAGGUAAUACCGGACGGCCUGAGUUGUCGGCAUCGAUGAUUUAGUAAAGGUUACGCCUCGAGAGGGGCCCAUAUGAUAUUAGCUAGUUGGUGAGGUAAUGGCUCACCAAGGCAAAGAUGUCUAGCGGGUGUGAGAGCACGACCCGCGUCACUGGCACUGAGACACUGGCCAGACUCCUACGGGAGGCUGCAGUCGAGGAUCUUCGGCAAUGGACGCAAGUCUGACCGAGCAACGCCGCGUGUGCGAUGAAGGCCUUCGGGUUGUAAAGCACUGUCGAGGGGAAACAAGCCGUAAGGUUGAGUGACCCCUGGAGGAAGCACGGGCUAAGUUCGUGCCAGCAGCCGCGGUAAGACGAACCGUGCAAACGUUAUUCGGAAUCACUGGGCUUAAAGGGCGCGUAGGCGGGUAAUCAAGUCAAUGGUGAAAUCCUCCAGCUUAACUGGAGAAGUGCCUUUGAUACUGAUUGUCUAGAGUGAGGUAGGGGCAUGUGGAACUUCCGGUGGAGCGGUGAAAUGCGUAGAUAUCGGAAGGAACGCCAGUGGCGAAAGCGAUGUGCUGGACCUUUUCUGACGCUGAGGCGCGAAAGCUAGGGGAUCAAACGGGAUUAGAUACCCUGGUAGUCC
rnacentral:rRNA from 1 species